UGAGGGACUGGUCGCGGCAGAAUA
rnacentral:miRNA from 1 species